UCGACCUGAUAUCGGGCCUCAGACAGUUGUGGCGCUACAAAGGUCUAGAAUGCUUUCGCAGUGGCAAUCAGUGGAGAUGAAAGCGCCAUGUCCUUAACAUGUCCAUCCAUUUUCAGAGACGUAAAGGUCAGACAAGUUGAACCUUUGACAACCCUUUGGAUGUGUAACCUCCUGUUCAGCCCGAGAAGGAAAGACCAGACAUUACUGUUUGUUGGAAGAAAUACUGUAUAUGCCAGAACCCCCGCCACAGCGAGGCAAAGAACCCAUCCGUUCUAAUUUGGAGUUCCCUCUCGGCGGAUUACCGUCACAGUGGGCUUUGUGCCCACAACCUGGUUGUAGCCAGCCAUCCAAUGCUUCCCGAAACGUUUCAAAUCAAUGACCAACUCUGAGACUCCUACAACUUGCACAGUGUGCCUGGACUGCAGAUACGGAGGAACCUCUCAAACUAGGUUGGCUGCGGUAUUUCCCGGAGCGGUAUUUCCCGGAGCGGUAUUUCCCAGAGCGGUAUUUCCCGGAGCAGUUGUUGGUGCGUCUGGAUUUGUUUCCCAGGGGUUCCGUGGCGUACAGCUUCCACCACAUCUGACCAGGGCCUGUGGAGCAGAAGAAAUGCACAAUGUAUUAAAUGUGAGGCAAUUUGGGACACGCAGUGGCUCUUCACUGGAGUGUGGCAGAGACAGUUUCAUAGCGGUUUUAGCACUUACCAUCCCAGUCAUGUUUCUGUCCAGGCUCCUAAUAGCCAAGUAGUCCAGUCUAAAUGCAGCCUAAUAACGUGUCGAGGAAAUGGGUUAUUCAUGUUUGUAAGUGGACUGUUAAAUUAACAGGCAUUUCAGAAAUGAGUGCUGUAUUUUUAGAGAUUAGUUCCAAUGUGAUAAGUCCCCGUACACUCACCACAUGGUGGAACGAUGAACUCUUUCUUUUGGGUCAGGGUUUGGGAUUCAGCAGGAAAUCUAACUAACACAGAGUAUCAGCUUAACAUUGUGUUUGGGAUUCUUUCCUCUUUCAUGUUGCCCUAACACAUUACUAUAAAAAACAAGCAGGAUGAAAAAAGAAAACACAGGAUAAUGAAGAAAGAACCUAAAUUUGCCGGGAGAUUUGCUCCCAAGAUGCAGGAGACAAUUUCUUCAUCAGCAUGACCUCACCAGACGCUGAUAACAUCUACAGAAUGAAAACAACACUAGACCCAGGAAAUAGUCCAAUGGGAGUGCUCUAUGUUCCUGAACCCAGGUGGUAGAGGAUUACACCUGGGGCUUAUCAAGGACCCCAGGUAACCCCCCCUCCGCCAGGUGACCCCUCCCCCUCAGGUGACCCCAGAUGACAUCACCUACCUGGCUGCAGUGGUACCUAAUAUGCACUGUCUCUAUGAUGUCAUUGUCUUGUUUGGUAACCCGACACCCACAUCAGGGGUGUCAGGGGGAAAUGUCCACUGGGAUACCGGUCUUCCUACUCCUGGUGUUUCAGAUUAAACAUUCGAGAAACGAAAGCCACUGGUUGGUUCUAAUU